rnacentral:miRNA from 1 species
GCGCUUCGACGGGCUGGGCUGUG